GGAAUAUUGCACAAUGGGGGAAACCCUGAUGCAGCAAUGCCGCGUGGGUGAAGAAGCACUCCGGUGCGUAAAGCCCUGUCAGCAGGGAAGAAAAUGACAGUACCUGACCAAGAAGCCCCGGCUAACUACAUGCCAGCAGCCGCGGUAAUACGUAGGGGGCAAGCGUUAUCCGGAUUUACUGGGUGUAAAGGGAGCGCAGGCGGUAUGGCAAGUCAGAUGUGAAGACCCAGGGCUCAACCCUGGGACUGCAUUUGAAACUGCCAUACUGGAGUGCCGGAGAGGUAAGUGGAAUUCCUAGUGUAGCGGUGAAAUGCGUAGAUAUUAGGAGGAACACCAGUUGCGAAGGCGGCUCUCUGGACUGUAACUGACGCUGAGGCACGAAAGCGUGGGGAGCAAACA
rnacentral:rRNA from 1 species